rnacentral:snRNA from 1 species
GUGCUUGCUUUGGCAGCACAUAUACUAAAAUUGGAACAAUAUGGAGAAGAUUAGCAUGGCCCAUGCACAAGGAUGACAUGCAAAUUCAUGAAGCAUUCUGUAUUUUU